rnacentral:rRNA from 1 species
ACGGCUCAGUAACACGUGGACAACCUACCCUGAAGAGGGGGAUAACCCCGGGAAACUGGGGAUAAUACCCCAUAGACUAUGGAUGCUGGAAUGCUCUGUAGUUCAAAGGUCCGCCGCUUCAGGAUGGGUCUGCGGCCGAUUAGGUUGUUGUUGGGGUAACGGCCCAACAAGCCUGUAAUCGGUACGGGUUGUGGGAGCAAGAGCCCGGAGAUGGAUUCUGAGACACGAAUCCAGGCCCUACGGGGCGCAGCAGGCGCGAAAACUUUGCAAUGCGAGAAAUCGUGACAAGGGAACUCCGAGUGCCUGUAAAAUCAGGCUGUCCGCCAGUGUAAACAACUGGUGAAGAAAGGGCCGGGCAAGACCGGUGCCAGCCGCCGCGGUAAUACCGGCGGCUCGAGUGGUGGCCACUAUUACUGGGCUUAAAGCGUUCGUAGCUGAUCUGUUAAGUCUCUGGGGAAAUCUUCCGGCUUAACCGGAAGGCGUCUCAGGGAUACUGGCAGACUAGGGACCGGAAGAGGUGAGAGGUACUCCAGGGGUAGGAGUGAAAUCCUGUAAUCCUUGGGGGACCACCUGUGGCGAAGGCGUCUCACCAGGACGGCUCCGACAGUGAGGAACGAAAGCUGGGGGAGCAAACCGGAUUAGAUACCCGGGUAGUCCCAGCUGUAAACGAUGCGCGUUAGGUGUAUCGGUGACCACGAGUCACCGAGGUGCCGAAGAGAAAUCGUGAAACGCGCCGCCUGGGAAGUACGGUCGCAAGGCUGAAACUUAAAGGAAUUGGCGGGGGAGCAC